GACGAACGCUGGCGGCGUGCUUAACACAUGCAAGUCGAACGCUGAAGCUCAGCUUGCUGGGUGGAUGAGUGGCGAACGGGUGAGUAACACGUGAGUAACCUGCCCUCUUCUUUGGGAUAACGCCCGGAAACGGGUGCUAAUACUGGAUAUUCACUGAUUCUCGCAUGGGGGUUGGUGGAAAGGUUUUUUCUGGUGGGGGAUGGGCUCGCGGCCUAUCAGCUUGUUGGUGGGGUGAUGGCCUACCAAGGCUUUGACGGGUAGCCGGCCUGAGAGGGUGACCGGUCACAUUGGGACUGAGAUACGGCCCAGACUCAUACGGGAGGCAGCAGUGGGGAAUAUUGCACGAUGGGCGAAAGCCUGAUGCAGCGACGCCGCGUGAGGGAUGGAGGCCUUCGGGUUGUAAACCUCUUUCGCUCAUGGUCAAGCCGCAGCGUUGGGUUGUGGUGAGGGUAGUGGGUAAAGAAGCGCCGGCUAACUACGUG
rnacentral:rRNA from 1 species